GACAUCACGUGUCCCACCACCUCCCAGAAUCCUUGUUGCAUCCAUCUUGGCUGAGCAAUGAGAAGCCCGCUGCCAAGAUGUGAGGACACUCCAGUAGACCUAUGGAAAGAUCCAUUGAAAUAGGUGUUUGAGGGGCCGUCUGAGCUUUCUGGAGCAAUCAAAAGCAACUGGAAUAACAUGUUGCAUCACUGUGUACCUGAGGUAUGUAUUACACCUACUACCUGCAGACUUUGGCUGGAAAUUCUUCCCUGAGGAAUGUCACGAAG
ensembl:lncRNA